GGCCCCGUGGCGGAAUUGGUAGACGCAACGGACUUAAAAUCCGUAGUUCCGAAAGGAACGUGCCCGUUCGAGUCGGGCCGGGGCCACCA
rnacentral:tRNA from 1 species